AGAGUUUGAUCCUGGCUCAGGACGAACGCUGGCGGCGUGCUUAACACAUGCAAGUCGAGCGAUGAAGCUUCCUUCGGGGAGUGGAUUAGCGGCGGACGGGUGAGUAACACGUGGGUAACCUGCCUCAAAGUGGGGGAUAGCCUUCCGAAAGGAAGAUUAAUACCGCAUAAUAUAGAGAGAAUCGCAUGAUUUUCUUAUCAAAGAUUUAUUGCUUUGAGAUGGACCCGCGGCGCAUUAGCUAGUUGGUAAGGUAACGGCUUACCAAGGCAACGAUGCGUAGCCGACCUGAGAGGGUGAUCGGCCACAUUGGAACUGAGACACGGUCCAGACUCCUACGGGAGGCAGCAGUGGGGAAUAUUGCGCAAUGGGGGAAACCCUGACGCAGCAACGCCGCGUGGGUGAUGAAGGUCUUCGGAUUGUAAAGCCCUGUUUUCUAGGACGAUAAUGACGGUACUAGAGGAGGAAGCCACGGCUAACUACGUGCCAGCAGCCGCGGUAAUACGUAGGUGGCGAGCGUUGUCCGGAUUUACUGGGCGUAAAGGGUGCGUAGGCGGAUGUUUAAGUGGGAUGUGAAAUCCCCGGGCUUAACCUGGGGGCUGCAUUCCAAACUGGAUAUCUAGAGUGCAGGAGAGGAAAGCGGAAUUCCUAGUGUAGCGGUGAAAUGCGUAGAGAUUAGGAAGAACACCAGUGGCGAAGGCGGCUUUCUGGACUGUAACUGACGCUGAGGCACGAAAGCGUGGGUAGCAAACAGGAUUAGAUACCCUGGUAGUCCACGCCGUAAACGAUGGAUACUAGGUGUAGGGGGUAUCAACUCCCCCUGUGCCGCAGUUAACACAAUAAGUAUCCCGCCUGGGGAGUACGGUCGCAAGAUUAAAACUCAAAGGAAUUGACGGGGGCCCGCACAAGCAGCGGAGCAUGUGGUUUAAUUCGAAGCAACGCGAAGAACCUUACCUGGACUUGACAUCCCUUGCAUAGCCUAGAGAUAGGUGAAGCCCUUCGGGGCAAGGAGACAGGUGGUGCAUGGUUGUCGUCAGCUCGUGUCGUGAGAUGUUAGGUUAAGUCCUGCAACGAGCGCAACCCUUGUUAUUAGUUGCUACCAUUAAGUUGAGCACUCUAAUGAGACUGCCUGGGUAACCAGGAGGAAGGUGGGGAUGACGUCAAAUCAUCAUGCCCCUUAUGUCCAGGGCUACACACGUGCUACAAUGGUAGGUACAAUAAGACGCAAGACCGUGAGGUGGAGCAAAACUUAUAAAACCUAUCUCAGUUCGGAUUGUAGGCUGCAACUCGCCUACAUGAAGCUGGAGUUGCUAGUAAUCGCGAAUCAGAAUGUCGCGGUGAAUACGUUCCCGGGCCUUGUACACACCGCCCGUCACACCAUGAGAGCUGGUAACACCCGAAGUCCGUGAGGUAACCGUAAGGAGCCAGCGGCCGAAGGUGGGAUUAGUGAUUGGGGUGAAGUCGUAACAAGGUAGCCGUAGGAGAACCUGCGGCUGGAUCACCU
rnacentral:rRNA from 1 species